rnacentral:rRNA from 1 species
UACGUAGGGGGCUAGCGUUGUCCGGAAUCAUUGGGCGUAAAGAGCGUGUAGGCGGUCCGGUGAGUCCGCUGUGAAAGUCGGGGGCUCAACCCUCGAAUGCCGGUGGAUACUGUCGGGCUAGAGUGCGGAAGAGGCGAGUGGAAUUCCUGGUGUAGCGGUGAAAUGCGCAGAUAUCAGGAGGAACACCUAUUGCGAAGGCAGCUCGCUGGGACGUAACUGACGCUGAGACGCGAAAGCGUGGGGAGCAAACAGG